rnacentral:rRNA from 1 species
GACAGAGGUGCCGAGCGUUAGGCGGAAUCACUGGGCUUAAAGCGUGUGUAGGCGGAUGGGUAAGUACCUUGUGAAAUCCCACGGCUCAACCGUGGAACUGCUCGGUAUACUGCUCGUCUUGAGCCAACUAGGGGCGACCGGAACAAACGGUGGAGCGGUGAAGUGCGUAGAUAUCGUUUGGAACGCCGAUGGUGAAAACAGGUCGCUGGGGUUGUGCUGACGCUGAGACACGAAAGCCAGGGGAGCGAACGGG